rnacentral:rRNA from 1 species
GAUGAACGCUGGCGGCGUGCUUAACACAUGCAAGUCGAGCGGAAAGGCCCUGCUUUUGUUGGUUGCACGAGUGGCGAACGGGUGUGUAACACAUGAGGAACCUGCUCUUGUAAUUGGGAUAACUUCAGGAAACAGCGGCUAAUACCGCAUAGAAGCUACUGCUGCACGAUGGCGGCUGGAAAGAGUCGGCGUUUGUGGAUGGAUUCGAGGGCUAUCAGCUUGUUGGUGGGGUAGAGGCUUACAAAGGCUUUGACGGGUAGCCGGCCUGCGAGGGUGACCGGCUUCCAAGGGACUGGGAUAAGGGGCAGGAGCCAACGGGAGGCAACAGUGGGGAAAAUUGCAAAAGGGGCGGAAGUCUGAUACAGCAAAGCGACGAACGGGGUAACGACCUGCGGGAUGUAAACCACUGUCGCCUGUGGAGAAGUGAGAGUGACGGUAACGGAUAAGGAAGCCACGGCUAACUACGUG